UGCAGUCGANCGGCAGCACGGGGGCAACCCUGGUGGCGAGUGGCGAACGGGUGAGUAAUAUAUCGGAACAUAUCCGGAAGUGGGGGAUAACGUACCGAAAGGUACGCUAAUACCGCAUAUGCCCUGAGGGGGAAAGGAGGGGAUCCGUAAGGACCUUUCGCUUUCGGAGUGGCCGAUAUCGGAUUAGCUAGUUGGUGAGGUAAAGGCUCACCAAGGCGACGAUCCGUAGCUGGUCUGAGAGGACGACCAGCCACACUGGAACUGAGACACGGUCCAGACUCCUACGGGAGGCAGCAGUGGGGAAUUUUGGACAAUGGGGGCAACCCUGAUCCAGCCAUUCCGCGUGAGUGAAGAAGGCCUUCGGGUUGUAAAGCUCUUUCAGCCGGAAAGAAACGGUUACGAAUAAUACUCGUGACUAAUGACGGUACCGGCAGAAGAAGCACCGGCUAACUACGUGCCAGCAGCCGCGGUAAUACGUAGGGUGCGAGCGUUAAUCGGAAUUACUGGGCGUAAAGCGUGCGCAGGCGGUUUGGUAAGACAGACGUGAAAUCCCCGGGCUUAACCUGGGAACUGCGUUUGUGACUGCCAGACUAGAGUGCGGCAGAGGGGGGUAGAAUUCCACGUGUAGCAGUGAAAUGCGUAGAUAUGUGGAGGAAUACCGAUGGCGAAGGCAGCCCCCUGGGUCGACACUGACGCUCAUGCACGAAAGCGUGGGUAGCAAACAGGAUUAGAUACCCUGGUAGUCCACGCCCUAAACGAUGUCAACUAGUUGUUGGGGAGGGAGACCUCCUUAGUAACGCAGCUAACGCGUGAAGUUGACCGCCUGGGGAGUACGGUCGCAAGAUUAAAACUCAAAGGAAUUGACGGGGGCCCGCACAAGCGGUGGAUUAUGUGGAUUAAUUCGAUGCAACGCGAAAAACCUUACCUACCCUUGACAUGUACGGAACUUGCCANANAUGGCUUGGUGCUCGAAANA
rnacentral:rRNA from 1 species